AUCGAACGCUGGCGGCAGGCCUAACACAUGCAAGUCGAGCGGAUGAAGGGAGCUUGCUCCUGGAUUCAGCGGCGGACGGGUGAGUAAUGCCUAGGAAUCUGCCUGGUAGUGGGGGAUAACGUCCGGAAACGAGCGCUAAUACCGCAUACGUCCUGAGGGAGAAAGUGGGGGAUGUUCGGACCUCACGCUAUCAGAUGAGCCUAGGUCGGAUUGGCUAGUUGGUGGGGUAAAGGGCUACCAAGGCGACGAUCCGUUAAUGGUCUGAGAGGAUGAUCAGUCACACGGGAGCUUGGACAGCGUCAAUGGUACUGCGAGACGGAGCAGAGGGGAAUGUUGGACAGUAGUGGAGAGCAUGAUACAAUGAGGGGACGUGUGAUGAGGAGGUCUUGGGAUUGUAAAGCCCGUUAAGUGGUGGGAAAGGGCAUUAGGUUAAUACCUUGCGUGUUUGACGUUACCGGCAGAAGAAGCACCGGCUAACUUCGUG
rnacentral:rRNA from 1 species